rnacentral:rRNA from 1 species
CCUACGGGAGGCAGCAGUGGGGAAUAUUGCACAAUGGGGGAAACCCUGAUGCAGCGACGCCGCGUGAAGGAAGAAGUCUUUCGGUAUGUAAACUUCUAUCAGCAGGGAAGAAAAUGACGGUACCUGACUAAGAAGCCCCGGCUAACUACGUGCCAGCAGCCGCGGUAAUACGUAGGGGGCAAGCGUUAUCCGGAUUUACUGGGUGUAAAGGGCGAGUAGGCGGUCGAACAAGUCAGAAGGGAAAGCCGGGGGCUCAACUUCGGAACUGCUUUUGAAACUGGUAAGCUGGAGUGUGUGAGAGGAUGGGGGAAUUCAAGGUGUAGGGGUGAAAUCCGUAGAAAGCA